GACGAACGCUGGCGGCGUGCUUAACACAUGCAAGUCGAACGAUGAAGAAGAGAAACGCGAACUUCGGUUCAAAUUUUACUUCGGAUUAGUGGCAGACGGGUGAGUAACGCGUGAGCAACCUACCUCUUACAAAGGGAUAGCCUCGGGAAACCGUGAUUAAUACCAUAUGACACAUUCAUAAGGCAUCUUAAGAAUGUUAAAGCUACGGCGGUAAGAGAUGGGCUCGCGUCCCAUUAGCUAGUUGGUGAGGUAACGGCCCACCAAGGCGACGAUGGGUAACCGGCCUGAGAGGGUGAACGGUCACAUUGGAACUGAGACACGGUCCAAACUCCUACGGGAGGCAGCAGUGGGGAAUAUUGCACAAUGGAGGGAACUCUGAUGCAGCGACGCCGCGUGAGCGAUGAAGGAAUUCGUUUCGUAAAGCUCUGUUCUAUGGGAAGAAAAGGACUGUACCAUAGGAGAAGGCCCCGGCUAAAUACGUG
rnacentral:rRNA from 1 species